GACGAACGCUGGCGGCGUGCUUAACACAUGCAAGUCGAACGGUAAGGCCUUCGGGUACACGAGUGGCGAACGGGUGAGUAACACGUGGGUGAUCUGCCCCCUACUCUGGGAUAAGCCUGGGAAACUGGGUCUAAUACCGGAUAUGACCUCCUUCUGCAUGGUUGGUGGUGGAAAGUUUUUUCGGUAGGGGAUGAGCCCGCGGCCUAUCAGCUUGUUGGUGGGGUAAUGGCCUACCAAGGCGACGACGGGUAGCCGGCCUGAGAGGGCGACCGGCCACACUGGGACUGAGACACGGCCCAGACUCCUACGGGAGGCAGCAGUGGGGAAUAUUGCACAAUGGGCGAAAGCCUGAUGCAGCGACGCCGCGUGGGGGAUGACGGCCUUCGGGUUGUAAACCCCUUUCAGUCGGGACGAAGCGAGAGUGACGGUACCGAUAGAAGAAGCACCGGCCAACUACGUGCCAGCCGCCGCGGUAACAC
rnacentral:rRNA from 1 species